UUUCCUACGGGGCGCAGCAGUGGGGAAUAUUGCACAAUGGGGGAAACCCUGAUGCAGCGACGCCGCGUGAAGGAAGAAGUAUUUCGGUAUGUAAACUUCUCUCAGCAGGGAAGAAAAUGACGGUACCUGACUAAGCAGCCCCGGCUAACUACGUGCCAGCAGCCGCGGUAAUACGUAGGGGGCACGCGUUAUCCGGAUUUACUGGGUGUAAAGGGAGCGUAGGCGGUGCAGCAAGUCAGAAGUGAAAGCCCCGGGCUCAA
rnacentral:rRNA from 1 species